UAUAUUUAGUGAAGUGGACAAUGGAGGAAACCCAAAAAAGGACACAGAUACUUUAUAAAAUAGGCAGAUAUGCCUCGGCUUUUCACCCUGAUGUUAAAAGACUGUUCUUUUAAAAAAGAAGACAUGUUUCUUUCCUUACACACACACACCAUUCUGGUAUUGCACCCUUGCAAACAAGGCAAGUAAAUUUUACUUGUAUAUCCAUAGCAGAAUUUAUUUGUUCUGUUUGCUGUGUUUUCUGAUUUUCCUAAAACUCACUAUCUAGACCAGACUGGACUGAACUCACAAAAAUCCACCUGUCUCUGCUGGGAUUAAAGAUCCACCCUACCCUACUUCCAGCCAAUUUUGAUUUUAUGUUUUAGACAUUGAUUUUAUUUUAACCUCAUAUGUGUUCUGCUUUAAGUUUUUUAAGUGACUGAGAAUUAUAAAACCAUUUAAACUUCAGAUUCCAAGUUCUAUUGGCAGGUGGGUCUCUUGAGUUCAAGGUCAGCUGCUGAGAGGAAGAGAGAAAUAGAUUCUGAGUUCUCCAAAUCUUGCUUGUUCUUUAUAUGUAGUAUUAGCCAAGUUUGGCUCUGAUGAUUCAGAAUUUAGAGCUCAUGCUGAAAAUGCAGGGUUAGAAAUAGCUUUGUUGGAUUUCAGCUUCAAGGAGAAAAUCUUUUCCCCUGGCUUCUGAAAAACAGUUUGUAAUACAUUUCUCCUUGCAUUGCACAGCUCUAUAGAUUUGGUUUGGAUUUGGUUUCAUUUCCACAUGGUGGCUCACAACCAUCGCUAAUGGGAUGCAAUGCCCUCUUCUGCUAGGUCUGAACACAGCUACAGUGUACUCAAAUAAAAUAAAUAAAUUUUUUUAAAAAAACUGUAAUAAGAGAGUUGACUUCACUCUUAGAAGGAGUUAAGUCCCUUUUGUUUUUUGUUCUGGGAUUCCAUUUUGUAACAGUGAAAAAGAAAAUUGUUCUGGUAAUAUCUAACCAAGCUGAUAUGUUAAUCUAAACACAGCUUUUUAAAUAAGUUUUUUUUUUUUUAAAGCAGAUGCUUAGUUUUACUAGUAUUAAUUUCUGGUUUUAUUAAAGACAUUUUUUAAAAGGGUAGAAUUUAUAUUGCUUUUUGGUGCACAGACUAAAGAAACUAAGUAAGGUAAAGGAAAACAUCCAGAUAGACCUUCUAUUACCCGAGGUACUAACAGACGUCUUUUCAGAUUGUCUCAUCUCCAUUGUGCUGUGUAAAUGUUAAGGCUUAAGGAAUCGAUUCUAUAGCUCCAUUCAUUGUCUGCAUGGCCAUUUUAUUUAUAAUUUGCUGGGUAAGAAGAAAUGAAGGGCAUAGUUACAUAAUCUUGGGGAGGGGGAGAUUCUCUGCAUCAUAGACUCAGUUGGUGUUUAAUCUUUUUAUUCUGCCACAUUUAUGGCAACAUUUGAUGACAUUUUGUUUGAAUACCAAUCUGACUAGUUCAGAGUCAGAAAAAAUGCAUACUUUUAUACCUCAGAUAGCUCAUUUAACUCUGGUAUUUCACUAGCGUCAGAAUACACAUAUGCUUUUAGAGAUAGUGUAAAAUUACUUUGUAGUAAAGUUUGAAGUAAGAACAUACUAAUUGUUUAACUUGUAAAAGAAUUAUGUUUUUAUACAGUGAUUUCAGUGAAAAUAUUUGUGCCACUUGGAAGUGAGGAAGUAGUUGCACUUGAGCCAGUACCCACCUCAAGACAGAGCACUGAGUAGCCCAAAUGGGUACUAGAAUUAUUCACAAGCUUGCUUCUUCAUACUCAAAGUCCUGUUUUGGACAGGUUUUCUUUUUAGCAGUAUUGCUGGAUAAAUUCUAUUUGAGUCUUUUAUAGUGGCUUUUCCUUUGUACUUAAAUAGUUUAUGUAAUAUUUUUAGGAUUGGAGAAACUUGAACUUUCAUACCAUAAAUGAACUAUCUCUUUGAGUGUAACAGCAGGUCUACAGGCUCAGAUGGUAGAAUGAUAUGGGAAGGGUUUCCUCGGCUUUUCAAAGAUCCAUUAGGAAAAUGUGCAGUGACUUUGUAGGAAAUAUCUUAAUUGCAUUGGCCAUGUGCUUCUGUAUUAAGAAGAUCUGUGAAAUACGUUACUGGCAAACCAGGGUUUGUUGUUAAAUGAUCAGUUUGGAAGACAUUUCAUGUGGGGAAAUAGUAGCAUUGUAAGUUUGUUUUUUGUUUUGUUUUGUUUUGUUUUGCUUUUGAAGCCUGUAAGUCAUGGAAUAAUGUAGUUUUGUAUCAUUUUCCUGUCUCAGCCAGCCUAAAGAAUAAUCAAAUGUAAAUAUACUAAAUUAUAUACAGUGUUGAUACAUAUUGUUGAGGUAACUGUUUCUUAUGACUGGCUGCAAGUGAGUCACUGGCAUUUCUUUAAAAAUUUGGGUGAUAAAAGGACAUCUGACAUAGUAACAGUGAACUUUGAACUGAGAAUGUAGAAACCUGAUUAGCUGGUUAGUAAAGUAGGAAAAGAAAAAGAUGCUAAAGGUUCUUUCAUCCAUCAUAGGGAUCCAUAGAACUGAUAACAAAUGUGGGUGUACCAUUUAAUGCUUCAUGAAUAAAAGUGAUUACUCUUAUAU
rnacentral:lncRNA from 1 species